rnacentral:lncRNA from 1 species
UCAGCCACACAAACAAUGGGUCUGCUUAAAAAGGAAUCAGUCAUUUUCAUGGAUUCCUCUUAAAGAAGACAACCGCCAUUUCCAUUAGAAAAGGAACCAAAUUCCUAACACCUGGAAAAACCAAUGAAAUUUUCCAGAAAAUCACCCCAAAAUCAACCAUUAACCACCCAAAAAUCCUGCUGAAAAUAAGUUCCAAACUCAGCUAAAAAACUUAUGGAGAACAGGCCUAAAACCAGUUCUUCAACAGCUUCAAAACAGCCCUGAAUAAGCCCCCAAAUCACGCCAAAAAUCAACUUAAAAUUAGCUACAAAACCAGCUGAAAAUUGUCUCAAAACCAACACAAAAUACAGCUACAACGCAGCUACAAAACAGCUCCAGAAUCCUCAAUUAAUCCCAUUGAAGUCUUGAGCUCGAGGUUGUCGCUGACGAUGUUUCCGUUCAACAGGGCAGGUUCAGUUCGCGAGAGAGCUGCAUCCAUCCGCAGGACUAAAGCAUAUUUCCUGUCAUAUUGAAUGUCAAGGAAAUAGCAGGUAAAGUUUUUUUUAUCUCAAAUACAUAAAGUUUGCAGGAUAUUUGAUUCUCAUUGGUGUUUAUUGAAUGUGAUAAUUACAUAGGAUUUGAUUUAAUUUUGAAAUGCAUAAUUUUAUAUAUUAUUG